UACGGAGGGUGCAAGCGUUAUCCGGAUUUACUGGGUUUAAAGGGUCCGCAGGCGGGUCUUUAAGUCAGUGGUGAAAGCCCAGAGCUCAACUCUGGAAUUGCCAUUGAUACUGGAGACCUUGAGUAUAGUUGAGGUGGGCGGAAUAAAUCAUGUAGCGGUGAAAUGCAUAGAUAUGAUUUAGAACACCAAUUGCGAAGGCAGCUCACUAAACUAUUACUGACGCUCAGGGACGAAAGCGUGGGGAGCGAACAGG
rnacentral:misc_RNA from 1 species